AGUUCCUGUUUGUGCCAGGUGCUCGAGGCUGGAACCAAGAGAAAAAACAGAAAUUUUCGUCCCUGUACUUCUCCUCGGGACAGCCACAGCUCCACGGCUCCAUGGCUAUUGGCCCCAUGCAUUUCACAGUCAUCUCUACAGAACAUGACUGGAGCUCGACCAGCGAACAAUACGCUUGGAUGAAAUCUGACCUUGAAUCUGUCGGCAGAUUCAGUACACCAUGGAUAGUUUUCACAGGUCAUCGACCUAUGUACUCCACUCAACUGCGGGGGAUUUAUUUCUAAACUUUACCAGGUGUGGAUCCGAAAUUUGUAGCAGCUGUGGAACCAUUGCUCUUGAGAAACAAGGUUGAUUUAGCAGUGUGGGGGCAUGUUCACAAUUACCUGCGAACUUGUGCUGUGUUUCAGGGCGCUGCCUGCAGCACCCGAUCAAGGAUUUAGCAGGCGUCGAUUUCUUUGACACUACAAUUUACUCAGCUCCAGUUCACACCGUGGUUGGCAUGGCUGAAUUCACCUUGGAUGACUUCCCUCAUAAUUUUAGUUCAUGGAGCUUGAUUCGAAGGUCGGCAUUUGGAUAUGCAAGAGUGACAGCUGAUAAGACAAAGCUACUGUUUGAGUACAUUACAACGGACGGACAGUAGCUGACCGAUUUAAAAUUGCCAGGCUAGAUUGGGGAUUUUCCAGGCCAUGAACGAUUUCAAGCUUUACAAGUUCAAUAGUUGGCUUGUAGAGCUUGCUGAUUUACUUGACACUGCCAAGAGCUCUUGCUUUGCUGCACA